UCUGCCAGAGGUUGGAAGUUCUGACUCAGGCUCAGACUGUGUGCAGCUGUCUCAGACAGAUCCCCAGCCAGACGUGCAGGUACCCAAUGGUUCCCUGUUUGCUCUUCAUUGUUGUCCUGAUCCCUUUGGGAUGGGCCGUCCGUCAGCCCCCAGACAUGGUGGUCAUUCAGGGACAACAACUGACACUGAACUGCUCUCUAUCAACACCUCAAAUCAUGACCAUGUACUGGUACAAACAGGCCGUGGGGAAGGACGCAAGGCUGCAGCUGGUGGUGUUUUCUACAGAAGGCUCCGAUGCAAAUGUUGAGAAGCCAUUUGAAGGUCACUUCCAGAGCAGUAGGACAAAAAACUAUGUCCUGUCUCUGUCUACAGAGAGUGCCCAGGUGCAAGAUUCAGGCACAUAUUACUGUGCUAAGCAAAAUCACACAUGGCUGGAAGGCAAGACAAGGCUGGACCGGGACUCCUCCCUGGUCCCUGGUGACCAGCCUGGUCUUGUGUGCCAUGAAAGCCAUUCCAGCCUGUCCUCCUGGUCCAGCGCUCAUCUCUGCACCUCUGCGGAACUGGAGCUGACAGCCAGCGGGGCCCCGGCAGGGUUCCAGUGA